AACGAACGCUCGCGGCAUGCCUAACACAUGCAAGUCGAACGAGACCUUCGGGUCUAGUGGCGCACGGGUGCGUAACGCGUGGGAACCUGCCCUUAGGUUCGGAAUAACUCCCCGAAAGGGGUGCUAAUACCGGAUAAUGUCUUCGGACCAAAGAUUUAUCGCCUUUGGAUGGGCCCGCGUUGGAUUAGCUAGUUGGUAGGGUAAAAGCCUACCAAGGCGACGAUCCAUAGCUGGUCUGAGAGGAUGAUCAGCCACACUGGGACUGAGACACGGCCCAGACUCCUACGGGAGGCAGCAGUGGGGAAUAUUGGACAAUGGGCGAAAGCCUGAUCCAGCAAUGCCGCGUGAGUGAUGAAGGCCUUAGGGUUGUAAAGCUCUUUUACCCGGGAUGAUAAUGACAGUACCGGGAGAAUAAGCUCCGGCUAACUCCGUG
rnacentral:rRNA from 1 species